ACGCUCGACACCUACGGGAGGAGCAGUAGGGAAUCUUCCACAAUGGACGCAAGUCUGAUGGAGCAACGCCGCGUGAGUGAAGAAGGUUUUCGGAUCGUAAAGCUCUGUUGUUGGUGAAGAAGGAUAGAGGUAGUAACUGGCCUUUAUUUGACGGUAAUCAACCAGAAAGUCACGGCUAACUACGUCNCNNNGCGACGUAUNGNGGCGGNGNGACGAG
rnacentral:rRNA from 1 species